rnacentral:rRNA from 1 species
CCCAGACUCCUACGGGAGGCAGCAGUGGGGAAUAUUGCACAAUGGGGGGAACCCUGAUGCAGCGACGCCGCGUGAAGGAAGAAGUAUCUCGGUAUGUAAACUUCUAUCAGCAGGGAAGAAAGAGGACGGUACCUGACUAAGAAGCCCCGGCUAACUACGUGCCAGCAGCCGCGGUAAUACGUAGGGGGCGAGCGUUAUCCGGAUUUACUGGGUGUAAAGGGAGCGUAGACGGCCAUGCAAGCUCGGUGUGAAAGGUGCGGGCACAACCCGCAGACUGCACUGAGAACUGUAUGGCUGGAGUGCCGGAGGGGCAGGCGGAAUUCCUGGUGUAGCGGUGAAAUGCGUAGAUAUCAGGAGGAACACCGGUGGCGAAGGCGGCCUGCUGGACUGCAACUGACGUUGAGGCCCGAAAGCGUGGGGAGCAAACAGGAUUAGAUACCCUUGUA